GCAAGUCGAACGGAUUGUUCACGCAGCUUGCUGUGUGUAUGGUUAGUGGCAGACGGGUGAGUAAUGCAUAGGAAUCUGCCUAGUAGUAUAGGAUAGCCACUAGAAAUGGUGGGUAAUACUGUAUAAUCCCUGCGGGGGAAAGAUUUAUCGCUACUAGAUGAGCCUAUGUCAGAUUAGCUAGUUGGUGGGGUAAUGGCCCACCAAGGCUGUGAUCUGUAGCUGGUCUGAGAGGAUGAUCAGCCACACUGGAACUGAGACACGGUCCAGACUCCUACGGGAGGCAGCAGUGGGGAAUAUUGGACAAUGGGCGCAAGCCUGAUCCAGCUAUGCCGCGUGAGUGAGGAAGGCCUUAGGGUUGUAAAACUCUUUCAGUAGGGAAGAUAAUGACGGUACCUACAGAAGAAGUCCCGGCAAACUC
rnacentral:rRNA from 1 species